rnacentral:rRNA from 1 species
CGCUAGCUACAGGCUUAACACAUGCAAGUCGAGGGGCAUCAGGAAGAAAGCUUGCUUUCUUUGCUGGCGACCGGCGCACGGGUGAGUAACACGUAUCCAACCUGCCCUUUACUCGGGGAUAGCCUUUCGAAAGAAAGAUUAAUACCCGAUGGCAUAAUGAUUCCGCAUGGUUUCAUUAUUAAAGGAUUCCGGUAAAGGAUGGGGAUGCGUUCCAUUAGGUUGUUGGUGGGGUAACGGCUCACCAAGCCUUCGAUGGAUAGGGGUUCUGAGAGGAAGGUCCCCCACAUUGGAACUGAGACACGGUCCAAACUCCUACGGGAGGCAGCAGUGAGGAAUAUUGGUCAAUGGGCGCUAGCCUGAACCAGCCAAGUAGCGUGAAGGAUGAAGGCUCUAUGGGUCGUAAACUUCUUUUAUAUAAGAAUAAAGUGCAGUAUGUAUACUGUUUUGUAUGUAUUAUAUGAAUAAGGAUCGGCUAACUCCGUGCCAGCAGCCGCGGUAAUACGGAGGAUCCGAGCGUUAUCCGGAUUUAUUGGGUUUAAAGGGAGCGUAGGUGGACUGGUAAGUCAGUUGUGAAAGUUUGCGGCUCAACCGUAAAAUUGCAGUUGAUACUGUCAGUCUUGAGUACAGUAGAGGUGGGCGGAAUUCGUGGUGUAGCGGUGAAAUGCUUAGAUAUCACGAAGAACUCCGAUUGCGAAGGCAGCUCACUGGACUGCAACUGACACUGAUGCUCGAAAGUGUGGGUAUCAAACAGGAUUAGAUACCCUGGUAGUCCACACAGUAAACGAUGAAUACUCGCUGUUUGCGAUAUACAGUAAGCGGCCAAGCGAAAGCAUUAAGUAUUCCACCUGGGGAGUACGCCGGCAACGGUGAAACUCAAAGGAAUUGACGGGGGCCCGCACAAGCGGAGGAACAUGUGGUUUAAUUCGAUGAUACGCGAGGAACCUUACCCGGGCUUAAAUUGCAGUGGAAUGAUGUGGAAACAUGUCAGUGAGCAAUCACCGCUGUGAAGGUGCUGCAUGGUUGUCGUCAGCUCGUGCCGUGAGGUGUCGGCUUAAGUGCCAUAACGAGCGCAACCCUUAUCUUUAGUUACUAACAGGUUAUGCUGAGGACUCUAGAGAGACUGCCGUCGUAAGAUGUGAGGAAGGUGGGGAUGACGUCAAAUCAGCACGGCCCUUACGUCCGGGGCUACACACGUGUUACAAUGGGGGGUACAGAAGGCAGCUAGCGGGUGACCGUAUGCUAAUCCCAAAAUCCUCUCUCAGUUCGGAUCGAAGUCUGCAACCCGACUUCGUGAAGCUGGAUUCGCUAGUAAUCGCGCAUCAGCCACGGCGCGGUGAAUACGUUCCCGGGCCUUGUACACACCGCCCGUCAAGCCAUGGGAGCCGGGGGUACAAGAAGUACGUAACCGCAAGGAUCGUCCUAGGGUAAAACUGG